CGUAUUCACAUUCUCAAUCCACCGCCUUUUUCUCCUCUCUAUAUUCCUUUUUUUCCUUUCAUCUGCCUCUAUAUCCAGAAACCCUAAUCCCCAUUCUCUCUUCUCUUCUCCCUCUUCGUCGCCUUUCAUCUUCUUCCUUUGUAAGUUGUUUAGGGUUUUACAAAAAUAUAGAUUCAACAAACAACGCAGAGUAUGAAUCUGAGGAAGGAAAGACCGAUCCUUUUCUUGGUCUAUUCUAUUUUUCUUCUCUGAUCAAUCUUCUAAUUGGUAUUCUGAUUUAACUUUUUCACUUUGUCAGUAUUAGUUUUGUUUUCGUAUUUCGAUUGAUUGUUGUAAGAAUUUUGAGGGACCAAAGUGUUUUCUUGAAUCUUUUGUAGUCAAUUGUUUGAAAGUUUAUGUUUUCACUAAACACUCAUGUUCUUGAGAACCCUAAUUUUUUUCUGUUUGAUGAUACGGGUUGAAUAUCAUAUGGUUUGAUACGGAUUGCAACCCAUUGAAGUUGAUUACUUGGAAGAACUGAAGAAGCAUGGUGUAAUGGCGUGAUUUACUGGACAUUUCACCCACGCUAAGGGAGGCAGGUGGUGCCAUUGUCGAUGCAAGACUCUUUUACAAGAUGUUUCAAGUCAAAUCCUCCAGAACCUUGGAAUUGGAAUGUGUAUUUGUUCCCCCUGUGGUGUUUAGGCGUUGUAGUGAGAUAUGGAAUUCUUUUCCCUGUAAGCUGAGAAGAUUUUGAUUUGGAAGGCUUCUGAUAUGCCCAUUUACUACUGCAUGUAAACUGAACCUCACUUUUGCAAUGCAUUUCAAAUUGAUCACUUUAUUUUAUAGAAUUACAAUAUAUUGGGUUGAGAUACCACCAACUAGAGGUGAAAAGCAUCAAUAUGAUCAGAUUUCAAACUUUGUAGAAUAGGCUGAGUGGAAUUUAGCCAUCCGUUAUCCUAAGUUAAACUGUUCUUUUUAAUGGAUAAAGUUCAUGUAUGGAUCGCUCUUCACUAGGACGAAAAAAAUGAGAAAGUUUCUUUCAUUUCAAA